GUGACCUCAAAUCAGGUAGGACUACCCGCUGAACUUAAGCAUAUCAAUAAGCGGAGGAAAAGAAACUAACAAGGAUUCCCCUAGUAACUGCGAGUGAAGCGGGAAAAGCUCAAAUUUAAAAUCUGGCAGUCUUUGGCUGUCCGAGUUGUAAUCUAGAGAAGUAUUAUCCGCGCUGGACCGUGUACAAGUCUCCUGGAAUGGAGCGUCAUAGAGGGUGAGAAUCCCGUCUUUGACACGGACUGCCAGGGCUUUGUGAUGUGCUCUCAAAGAGUCGAGUUGUUUGGGAAUGCAGCUCAAAAUGGGUGGUAAAUUCCAUCUAAAGCUAAAUAUUGGCGAGAGACCGAUAGCGAACAAGUACCGUGAGGGAAAGAUGAAAAGAACUUUGGAAAGAGAGUUAAACAGUACGUGAAAUUGCUGAAAGGGAAACGCUUGAAGUCAGUCGCGUUGUCCAGGGAUCAACUCUUGCUUUUGCUUGGUGUAUUUUCUGGUUAACGGGUCAGCAUCAAUUUUGACUAUUGGAAAAAGAUYAAGGGAAUGUAGCAUCUUUUGGAUGUGUUAUAGCCUUUGGUUGCAUACAGUAGUUGGGAUUGAGGAACUCAGCACGCCGCAAGGCCGAGUUU
rnacentral:rRNA from 2 species